rnacentral:rRNA from 1 species
AGCCUGAUCUAGCCAUGCCGCGUGAGUGAGGAAGGCCUUAGGGUCGUAAAGCUCUUUCGCCAGGGAUGAUAAUGACAGUACCUGGUAAAGAAACCCCGGCUAACUCCGUGCCAGCAGCCGCGGUAAUACGGAGGGGGUUAGCGUUGUUCGGAAUUACUGGGCGUAAAGCGCGCGUAGGCGGACUAUUAAGUCAGGGGUGAAAUCCCGGGGCUCAACCCCGGAACUGCCCUUGAUACUGGUAGUCUUGAGUUCGAGAGAGGUGAGUGGAAUUCCGAGUGUAGAGGUGAAAUUCGUAGAUAUUCGGAGGAACACCAGUGGCGAAGGCGGCUCACUGGCUCGAUACUGACGCUGAGGUGCGAAAGUGUGGGGAGCAAACAGGAUUAGAUACCCUGGUAGUCCACACCGUAAACGAUGAAUGCCAGUCGUCGGGUAGCAUGCUAUUCGGUGACACACCUAACGGAUUAAGCAUUCCGCCUGGGGAGUACGGUCGCAAGAUUAAAACU